CCUANGGGAGGCAGCAGUAAGGAAUAUUGGGCAAUGGACGCAAGUCUGACCCAGCCAUGCCGCGUGGAGGAUGAAGGUCCUCUGGAUUGUAAACUUCUUUUUUCUGGGGCGAAAACCGGUUUUUCUAAACCAUUUGACAGUACCAGAAGAAUAAGCACCGGCUAACUCCGUGCCAGCAGCCGCGGUAAUACGGAGGGUGCAAGCGUUAUCCGGAUUCACUGGGUUUAAAGGGUGCGUAGGUGGGCAGGUAAGUCAGUGGUGAAAUCCCCGAGCUUAACUUGGGAACUGCCGUUGAUACUAUCUGUCUUGAAUAUCGUGGAGGUAAGCGGAAUAUGUCAUGUAGCGGUGAAAUGCUUAGAGAUGACAUAGAACACCAAUUGCGAAGGCAGCUUGCUACACGGUAAUUGACACUGAGGCACGAAAGCGUGGGGAGCAAACAGGAUUAGAUACCCUANUANUC
rnacentral:rRNA from 1 species